rnacentral:tRNA from 1 species
GCCUGGCUGGCUCAGUUGGUGGAGCAUGGGACUCUUGAUCUCGGGUCAUGAGUUCAAGUCCCACAUUGGGCA